AGAAAAUUAAACAUGGCGACUCGUGGUUAGCCGGUUGGUAAUUUGGGGGAUCGUCAUCGGUCCAGAAUUUCUAUUUAGUUGUCUUCGUUGUAACAAUCUUUUCCAAAAUGUCUGACUCCGACGAGUUUCCAGAGACCAUUGAUGAACUCCGGGUGGAAAUUGAACGUCUGAAGGAUGAAUUAAACCUCGCAAGUCAAGAGAAAAUCCAGGCGGCCGAAUAUGGGUUGGUUGUGUUGGAAGAGAAACAGGCGUUAAAACAACAGUUCGAAGAACUGGAAGUGUUGUAUGAAACCUCCAAGACGGAACUUCAACUGGCCAAAGAGGCCUUAGAUCAGCACCAACUCAACCAGAAGAAGCACACUCUCCAGGAGGUGAACCGGGAGGAGAACCUGCUCAAGGAGACGGCCACGCGAGAGGCCGACCUUGUCGAGCGUAUCUCGGACCUCGAGUCGGAGAACAAGAGCUACCGGCAGGAGCUGACCCACAUCAAGAUCGAGAAUGAGAGGCUGCACGCUCGGCACGGUGAGCUGGUGGUGCAGACGGAGAAGUUGGAGGUGGUGCGCAAGACACUCAAAGAUGAAGUUCGGGACAUUAAGUUCCGGGAGACCAGGCUCCUGCAGGACUACAGCGAGCUGGAGGAGGAAAAUAUUGCUAUGCAAAAACAGAUAUCGAUGUUGAAGUCCUCAGUUGUGGAAUACGAGGCCAUGAAACAUGAGAACCGCCGUUUGACUGAAGAGACCCAGUACCUGAACACACACAUCGAGGACCUGAUCCGUCUCAGAGAGAUCGCCGACAAGCAGAUCGAGGAGACGCUCCAAGCGCUGGAAGCCGAGCGGGAACAGAAGCACUACCUCAAGAAACAGCUAGACCAGGCCAUGAUCAUGGAGAUGGAGGCCUUCAACAAUGACCUCAUGAACAGCUCAGGCCUCUUGGGCGAGGACGCUGACUCAGAUACGGAGUCUCAGUCCCCCGAUCACCCCAUCCUGCGCCGCAUGGAGUAUGAAUUCCAGUCCACCAACGGCACCAAUGGUCUGCACAUGCACGGUCAGUCGACCUGCAUGGGCUCCGAUCUCUACAGCGAGAUGCAGUCCACAGAAGUUCAGAAGCUGGAGGAGCAACUGGCCAAAUUGCAGACAGAGAAAACAGAACUCUCCCAGAACUUGGAGCAGACCAUCGGGGCACUGAAUCGUCUCCCAGAUGACCUGAACAUCUCUGGAACAGACAGUGAAGGGGAGCCACUGCCUGAAGACUUGAGUGUCCACCACCGCAAGCUACUGAACCUUGUGCGGCUUGUCAAACACCACGAGAAGAAGUAUGCAACAGCGAUGUCCCAGAUAACUGCCUUGCAAGCAAAAGUGGACAAUCAGCAGGAUAAGUUGAAUGAGGAGAGCAAGAAGCCAGACCUGCAGUCAGAGGUGGACCUUCUGAAUGACCGGAACAGGCAUCAAGAGAUGACUAUCAAGAGUUUGCAGACACAGAUGAGACAGAUGAACGAUAUCAUCAUGGAAUCACAGGGUCACUUAAACUGUACACAGGAUGAACUGAUCAAUGUAAGUGAGGACUUGGCCCAGUUGUACCACCACGUGUGCGUGGUGAAUGGCGAGACUCCCAACCGCGUCAUCCUGGACCACCUCAAGGCAACAAGACAGAGCAGACGGGAGAGCUUCCGAGCAGAAAUUGCCAGCAGGUUAAAGGAGGUGUCAUUUGAUGCAGACAUGAGUAGGGAGAAACCUGUGAACUUGAAUGCUAGUGAAAAUGAUGGGAACAUCAGCACAGAUGAGAGCUCCUCACCUGCCUCUAGCAUCAAGUCAUCCACCCCCAUCUCUAGCCCAUCCAGGCGGAUACCAGAUGCCUCACCGAGAAUGGUUGGCAGCGACCCGAUCACCUGCAACAAUCUGUUGACAACCAUUCGGGAUCAGAUCAAGUAUCUUAAACGAUCUGUGGAGCAUGCGGUAGAAAUGUCACGGCAGCGCAGCAAUGAGACUGCCGGAUCGGCUGAAACAGAAGACUUGCGCGAGGAGGUCAUGAAACAGAAAGCGCUCCUUGCCACAAAACGAGACCAGAUUGUAACGCUCAGGACAGUCCUUAAGGCCAACAAGACAACAGCUGAGGUUGCUCUGGCCAACCUAAAGAGCAAAUACGAGAAUGAGAAAACCAUUAUCGCUGAGACGAUGAUCAAACUUAGGAACGAACUGAAAGCUCUCAAGGAGGAUGCAGCCACAUUUGCCAGCCUCCGCGCCAUGUUUGCCACACGGUGCGAUGAGUACGUGACCCAGCUGGACGAGAUGCAACGCCAGCUGGCCAGUGCCGAGGAGGAGAAGAAAACCCUGAACUCCCUGCUGCGUAUGGCCAUCCAGCAGAAGCUAGCCCUGACCCAGCGGCUUGAGGACCUGGAGUGCCACACCGAGCUGCAGCAGAUCAACCCCCGCAAGGCGGCACCCAGGCGCCACAAGCCCUCCAAAUUUAGGCGAGAUUCAGCUCGGGAUUCUACACGGGAUCCAGGGAAAGACUUCGGCCGAGAUGUAGCUAAAGAGUCGUCUCGAGUUUCGCCCCGAGAACCCAGCAGACGAAGCUCAGGGAGUUCUUACGCCACAGCAACGCGCAUUGUCAGCCGCAGCGUGCCCAAGGGAUGCCAUGGCCAGGACGUCUGAUCCCUCUCCCCCAUCACAGUGAAUGGCACUGUCCCACCGACAUUAGUUUUGCUGAAGAUUUAACAGUGCCUUCGAAAUCACCAGAAUCACACUCACGCUGGAGGUGGCUGUGAAAAUGGACAGAUUGGUGACACUCCCUCAACAGAUGACCUGCUACCCUCUCUGGUGUGGCCUCGCCCCCUCACCCUUGCCUUCCAUGUACAGCCCCACCCUAUGGGUAUGUCCAGGGGCAAGUAUUCAAGGACCUGCGUAAGCACAGAAACAUAUUGCUUAUCAGAAGCUGGUUACCAGCCAAAAAUGUUACACAAUGUGUAUUGGUCAUAACUGGCUCUCAGUUGACCUUUGCUAAGAUGUAAAUGUGCUAAGCAAUCUGUUCCUGUUUUCAGCUCCUUGACUUUGAGCCUUUAUCAAGGGAGUAAAAAAUCAUUGCAAUUGAAAGUUACCGGUAACUCUCUGAAUUAGAAUGGUAAAUUUUGUGACGAGAAUUAACUUUCGUGCUCGCUUUCCACAAGACAUGAAAAUGAUUUUCCACAUGAGUGAAAGGGUGUGAACAAUGCUUCCUGACUUGUGGGAAAAUCUGUGGAAAACAAGCGGGAAAAGUCUUCUCACAUUUUGCGAAAUGAAAAUGAAUUUCCUGGGAAAAGAAAAUGUGUGAAGAGAAUUUCCCAUUCCCAGGUUAACUUUCAACUGCAAUAUACCAUACUGUACUAUGUUGAUAUCCCCCGUUCCACCUGUAUGUUUCAGAGAUGUACGGAAUUUGUGCAUAGAUUUCUAACUUCUUAAAAUUAUAAUAUUUAACCCUUUUUUCUAACAUCGUAGUCAGGUUUGUUACUCUUUGUAUGGUGCUUUUAGUACUUACGUAUAAUCAGUCACAAUUUAUAGACAGAGAAUUGUACCAUACUCAUUUACUUUCACUGCGUCCUUAACUACUUCACUUGGUGGAAAGCUUUCCAGUAAGACUGAGAUGAACCUUUGGAAUGUUUUCCAUAGCUUCAUGGAUGAUAAUGACCAGUGCCUUUUUUACUGAGAUCCUGAAAACAUUUGACUGAAUGCAUUUUGCAAGGGAACAUUUAAACAUUCAUGUGAUAAGUGGAAGGUAGCAUCCAUGAACAACUAUGUUUGUUUCAAUAACUAAUCCCUUUACAUCCACUGGUCACCAGCAUGUCAAAUUACAUGUACAUGUUACUCACUCAGCAUUAGGAUGUGUACAACGUGCCUGACCGGACGUACAGUACGCCUCAAAUUCAAGAACACCUGCAAUGUACAUUCAAGUGUGUUGCCACGGUACUGGCAGUGAUUCAGCUUCCAAACUUGCACAUUUCAUUAUUAUUAUGGGGGGGGUAGGAUCUUGAUGACACGAGUGAUGGCUUGGCACCAUUCUGUGGAGUAGUUAAGGACAUAAAUUCUUGCAUGAAAUUAGUACACGGGUUUAUUCUUAAUUGGUUUUUACCUCACUUCCCUUCCUAUCAACCAAGUUGCCUUAUGAACAUAGUCGAGUCGUGAAACUUUAAUAUAUUUUGUGGUUAUUUUAGAUUUCUGUAAACCUAUGAGCUAUUUUGCCACGAUCAAAGUUUCCACUUCAAGCAGUGCUGUGUUGGAAAGGUUUGCUUCCAGUAACUCUCCUCCAACAUAGAGUUGUGCAAGAUGACCUAACCCUGUCCACAAUCUCAUGGUUUUUCAAAGUACCAGUACUGCAAGUUGUCAGAACGCACGGGUACGCUAAGACAGUUGCCUCUCUGAUAGCCAUCACAAGAUGGCGAUGUUGGCAUUGAUUACCAUGUCUACAGUUCAUUGACCCCACACAUAUCACACUAAUGUUCAUCCUUAUUUAUCCACUGGUCACCUACAUGUACAGUCGAACCUCGUCAGUAAGAAGCUCUUCGGACUUGGCAAAAUUACCUUGUUAUAACAGGAGCCUGGUAUUAUCAGGAAUGAAAACAAUGAAAAACAAAACACUGGGCCCUGAAGAUUUCCUUGCUGUAAGCAGAAUCUUGUAUGAGGUUCAACUGUAACAUGUAUAAAUGCACUGACUGGCAAAGAGUAGGCAGCAAUACUUGAUAUUACAUGUAAAAGAACUUGCUGCUAUCUUCUCACAUGAUGAUUGUGCACUGGCCAGUGAGUUUCCAUGGGCGUCACCAGGGUUUUUUUUCCAGGGGAGGGUGCAAUUUUUCUCAGCAGUAACCUGACAAGCCAUUAAUGGGGAAGGGCAUCAAUUCCAAGAAAUUUUUUCAGUAAAGCAUUGAUUUUUAUCCCAUCUCCAUUUUGUUUCUUUCACUUUUUCUCUUUUUUUUUCUUUUCCCCCUAGUUUUCCGUUUUUUUCCCUAGGUGCGCCUUGCCUCCCCCCCUCCACCAGAGCCAGGUUACUCUUGUAAAGGUCACUGGAUAUAGACAAAAAAUGAACAUUAGCGAAUGCACAAACAUUAACAGGCUGACUUUCUGUAGACAUUGGUUAUCAAUAUCAACACCUGCCUCUUGAUAGGUUGAUAUCAGGAAGGACCCACAGUGGGACAUACUUUCAUUUCAGCAUCAUAGAAACUCAAAAUGCUGUAAAUUGUCUUUUGCCAUUGUUGCUGCGAUUUUGUAAACAAUAUACAUACAGUUCUGAUUCCUUAGUAAUCAUGUAUCACCUCACCUCACCUCAAGCAUUAAAGAAUACUGGGUAUAUUCUCCUUGAAUUAAACAGCAAUAUCGAUCAGCACUGAUAUAGUCUUUUCUGCUAAUUGUAGUUCUGUGUGAAAGUUGCCUCCUUGCAGACUUUGACAGACAUGUAAAAUGGCACAGUGCAAGCAGUGCACCAGAGUUUCCAGCAACUUGACAAUUGCAGUGAAAUUGAAAUCGAACACAGAAUGAGAGACAAGUUGUAAAAGUCAUUGUUUUAUUUUUGUGUGGAUGAGUUCUCAAAUUACAAAUAUGUAUGGCUGUGUGCUGGAUGCUACCAGAUUUGCACAAAAUUCAAGAUGGCAAAAUUCUCAGAGGGAAAAAAGAGACCAAUACAUGUAUGGGCGUAACUGGCGACUGACACAGGGGACUCUUUUACUUAAAAGUAUUUUUGUUCUGGUCAUUCUCCCUUUUCAGUGACGUGCCAUUCUUAAAUUUGGUCAGGGUUAUGCAUCCCAGUCAUGCACCGACACAUUGUAAUAUUUGUCACUUUUGGUUGCUGCUUUUCUGACAACUCCAUUUUGCGGUUGUGCAGGUUUUGUUGUGAUUUUGUGCUGGUAGCUUUUUGUUUUGGUAUGCUCAGAGUAAUUUAUAUUUAAAUUUAUUUAUUUAUUUACAGGCAUAUUAAGCUGUAUUACACUAAUCUUUAUUUUAAUAUGUACAUGCGUGUAUUAAACUUUAUUGAAGGGUAAUUUAAGUCUGAUUUGACAGGCACCUGUUUACUGCAGGCUUUGUUUUCCAUCAAGUAGGCUUUUUUGAUCCCCCCAAAACUUACCUUCUCCAUUUGAAUGUGAACCUUCAUUUACACUGUCUAAAUUAAGUUUACAACUUAAAUUCAAAUUGAAAAAAGGAAUUUUUUUGGGUUUUCACGUCCUUUCUCAUUUUGAAUGAAACCUGUCACAUUUUGGAUAUUGUGCAGGAGCAAUUAGAUUGCAGUCAUUCACGAGAACCGUAUGUGUGGUACAAACCAUCUGUACGCCCUUGUUGAAUGUGCAUCAGACACAUGUAGGGUGAAAUAUGCGUAAUUUAAAAAUGAUGCAUUUUUCAAAAAUAGCAUUAAUUUUCCUGUGCACUAACCAGUUCUUGCUUGACUAGUCUCAGUUCAAGACGUUGCUGUCAGUAUGAAUUGCUGCUUAAAUGUUUGACCCAAAUGGCGAUCGUUAUACGAAAGUCUAGAGAGCUUCUACAUUUCCUCGGGCAGGCACGAUGUGGAGUUCAGAUUUUGAAAUUACGAAUCCUGAUAAGUUAUUUCUUUGCACUUGAACAUAUGAUGAACAGCUUACAGGUAAAUACAAGAUAAUGCAUUAUUUGAAGGGUUUAUUUCCAAAAUGAGAUACAUGCAUAUGUAUAUCCAUUUGAAAAACAUGCAAUUUUUCCAUAAUUAUGUAAGAUUUCAGAGCUUUUGCAGUGUACCAAAUGCCCCUAACAUACCUAAACUUCUUUUUCUCUAUUUUGAGUCAUUAAAGCUGUGUUGAGCAGUCUAACAGAUGUUGGAACUGACUGCAGGCAUCAGACGGAGGGUAGGAUUCAGAAAGAUACCUACAUGUAAAUGGCACUUAUCGCAUUUUGGAAAUAAAUACUUCAUUUCAUCCACUUGGUUGACCUGAGGCUUCUUUGAAGUCAUCAGUAACAACAUGCAAACUGUGUCUACUGGAUGGAAAUCACAUGUAGAGAUUUGUGUGAUUUCUUUGUAUUUGAGUUUUAACAAUCUAUGGCACCUGGAACUGAAUUUUGAUCCUCUCUCCAUAGCCUUACGUCCCAACUAUGGCUUUGGUCCCAACUAUAGUUGGGGCUGAGGCCAUAGUUGGGGCGUAACAGCCUCAAUCACACAGGUCAAGCUGUGGACUGGGAUUGUUCAACCAGGAAAGGGAAAUCAGUUUUCCAAUGUGCAGUUGAUGAAUUAUUAGAGAUUUUAAAGACUUAUUCAUGAAUUCCAGCUACGCUCCAACCACCUUGCAGAUUGCAUCGUUUUAGGAUGUACAAAUGAAAAUUUAUUUGUAAGUAAAUACUGUUUACCAUGCAGUGAGUUGCUUUACAUAGCCCCGCUUGAAAUUCUUGGUCAGAAAAUGCAGAUUUCUGAAUAAAAAUUGGUUUUCAAAACAUCAACCAACCAAAUUCUUAGUACGCGUGUGACUGGUUGUUUUAACAGAAUUCUGAAGAAUCCAAGAGAGGUUAAUAAUGAACAAAAAUGUGCUUUUGAAUAGCCCAUGAUUUAUAAAUACAGACUUACUGUGAAAAUACAUGAAAUCCACAAGUAAAUAUUUUACUGCUGAAUUGGCACCAAUGUACUUCUGACAAUAGGUCUUGCUUGCCAUUGGAUAUUAAUAGAAUGGUAGGAAAGGUCAUUAGGCUGUGUCAUCUUGUGAUGUCACGCACAACUUGCUGUGCACAGUACAAGUCUGCAACACGGAGUGACCUGCACAGUAAGGCACUGAUUUUUACGUGUUUCUGUCAGUGUUGCAGGUGACUGUCACAAGUUUUCUUGUGUACAUGUACCCAAUCAGAAGUAACAAAAUGAACAGUAACAAUGAAAGGACUUGCCAUUACACUGGGCCCUUUGCCACAGACCUGUGAUGGACUUGACGACAAGGACUAACAUGUUUAUUCUAUCACGCCUGAUUGCCCUGGAAAAAGGAUGGAUCACUAAACAUGCAUUAUACAUAAGCAGAUUCAGCCACAUACAGGAAAUUUGCAAUAGAAUUUGCAAUUCCUUAAUAGAAACGGCUGAUAUGAUGAUGGCCCGGGAUACAGAGACCUCUUUAAAAUAAUCACAAAACCACCAAAGGAUUAGCGUGACCCCCCCCAAUAAGACUGUAAAGUGUAAUGAUGAUACUACGCUUUGUUUACCAGUGUGCUUUCCCAUGGUACUAAAUGGACCAGCCGUGGGCUCCCAUGGGCUCCAUAGGAAAGUGAGCAUGUAUAGGUGUAACGUUGUCAGUACAAAGUCCUAUUCAAGUCACAGCUAUUCAACUGGACUGCAACAAAAGCAUUCCUGUGUUCACCCCACUUCUUGUAAAUGGUCUUAAGUCUGGUCCUGAGAUGGAUUCUACAUGUACAUGGAUUCUGCAUCUGCUCACACA
rnacentral:misc_RNA from 1 species